AUAAUUAAAUUAUUAUAAUUAAUUAUUUGUUUUAAAUUAUUUAAUAAAAAUAAUUUUUAUUUAUUAAUAUUUAGUAUUUUUUAAAGAAAAAUAUAUUAUAAUUAUAGUUUAUUAUUAUUGUAAAAGAAUUAAUUAUAAAUUUUUUAAAAGUAAAAUUAAUUUUUUGUACCUUGUGUAUCAGGAUUUAUUAAAUUAAUUUAAGGAUUUAAUUUUCUCGAAUUUUAUAGAGUUAAUAUUUUAUUUUUUUUAUUGUUAAAUAAAUAUUUAUAAUAAAAUAUUAGAAAUGAAAUGUUAUUCGUUAUAAAAUAUAUCUAGUUUAUUUAGAAAUAAAUUUAAUUUAGAAUUAUAAUUUAAUUAAUUAAAUUUUAUUUAGUUAAUAUAAUUAUAAUUUAAUUAUUAAAGGGAUAAUCUUUUAAUAAAAAUUUUAUAAAUAAUUUUUUAUUUUAUAUAAUUGUAGAUUUAGAAUUUGUUAUCAUAUUAAUAUGUUUUAAUUAAUAUAUUUUAAAUAAAGAUUUAAUUAUUAUUUUAAUUAUUUAUAAAUAUAUAUAUUUAAAUUAAUUAAAUAUAGAAAUAAUGAUAAAAUUAGUAUAAUAAUUAAUUUAUAAAUAAAAAAAUAUUUUAAUAUUAAUAAAAGGAAUUCGGCAAAUAUUAUUAUUCGCUUGUUUAUCAAAAACAUCUCUUUUUGUAUUAUUUAAAAGGUUUAGCCUGCCCUAUGAAUUAUUUUAAAUGGCCGCAGUAUUUUGACUGUGCGAAGGUAGCAUAAUAAUUAGUUUUUUAAUUGAAAGCUUGUAUGAAUGGUUGGACGAGAUAAUUACUGUCUUUUUUUAAUUAUUAGAAAUUAAUUUUUAAGUCAAAAAGCUUAAAUGAUUUUAAAAGACGAGAAGACCCUAUAAAGCUUUAUUAUUAUAAUUUUUAUUAUUUUAUUGAUUAUUUUAGUAAUAAUUUUUUUAAUAAUUUGAUUGGGGUAAUUAAAAGAUUAAUUUAAUUCUUUUUUAUUAUAUUCAUUAAUUUAUGUUUUAUUGAUCCAUUAAUAUUGAUUAAAAGAUUAAGUUACUUUAGGGAUAACAGCGUAAUUUUUUUGGAGAGUUCAUAUUUAUAAAAAAGUUUGCGACCUCGAUGUUGGAUUAAAAAAUAGUUUAGGUGAAGAAGCUUAAAUUGAUUGGUCUGUUCGACCAUUAAAUUUUUACAUGAUCUGAGUUCAAACCGGUUUAAGCCAGGUUGGUUUCUAUCUUUAAUAAAUUUUUAUAUUUUAGUACGAAAGGACCAUUUAUAAAAUAAAUUAUUUUAUUAUUUUGAAUAAUAUU
rnacentral:rRNA from 1 species